UGGAACCAUCCCACGUCUUUGCAGACUGGAGGUGGGCCGGGGUCUUUGUCCAGGAGCUCGAAGCAGCGGUCGGCCAGGCAAGGAGACAUAAGAGGUGUAGAAUAAGUGGGAGAUAUCAGAUUUCGGUUUGGUAUCGACAAUGAAAUACCACUACUCUUAUUGUUUCCUUACUCACUUGAUUAAAUUGAACGUAUAUCAUUUCCUAGCCAUUAUACGGAUAUAUUUAUUAUAUCUUAUGGUAUUGGGUUUUGAUGCAUGCUUCUUGAUCAAAGUAUCACGAGUUUGUUAUAUAAUCGCAAACAAAUUCUUUAAUGAGAAUAUGCAUUUAUGUGUUUUCAAUUUGAAAAUUUGGUAUAACUCCAAUUACUCAGGUAUGAUCCAAUUCAAGGAAAUUGCCAGGUAGGGAGUUUGACUGGGGUGGUACAUCUCUUAAAUAAUAACGGAGGUGUUCCAAGACCAGCCCAGUGCGGACAGAAACCACACAUAGAGCAAAGGGGCAAAUGCUGACUUGAUCUCGGUGUUCAGUAAACACAGGGACAGCAAAAGCUCGGCAUAUAGAUCCUUUUGGUUUAAAGAGACAGGUUAGGUUUACUCUACUAAUGACAAAACGUUGCUGCGACAGCAUUCCUGCAUAGUACGAGAGGAACCGCAGGUACGGACCAAUGGCACAAUACUUGUUCGAGCGAACAGUGGUAUGACGCUACGUCCGUUGGAUUAUGCCUGAACGCCUCUAAGGUCGUAUCCGUGCUGGACUGCAAUGAUAAAUAAGGGCUUCUAAACCAUUAAAAGUUUGUAAUUUAUUUUACAAACGACAAUGGAUGUGAUGCCAAUGUAAUUUGUAAAAUAGUAAAUUGGGAUGAUCAUUGAUCACCUGGUGCCGCGCUAGUCACAUAUAAAAACAUUAUUUAAUACAAUGACAAAGUCUAGAAUCAAUUGUAAACGGCUUUUGUAACAG
rnacentral:lncRNA from 1 species